UACGAAGGGGGCUAGCGUUGCUCGGAAUCACUGGGACGUAAAGGGUGCGUAGGCGGGUUUUUAAGUCAGGGGUGAAAUCCUGGAGCUCAACUCCAGAACUGCCUUUGAUACUGAAGAUCUUGAGUUCGGGAGAGGUGAGUGGAACUGCGAGUGUAGAGGUGAAAUUCGUAGAUAUCGCAAGAACACCAGUGGCGAAGGCGGCUCACUGGCCCGGUACUGACGCUGAGGUGCGAAAGCGUGGGGAGCAAACAGG
rnacentral:rRNA from 1 species